AAAAUUUGUAUACCCCAUGACUCAGCCAUUUUACUUACAGUUUAACCCUAAGUAUUUGGACACCUGUACAAGAACAUUGAUUGUAGUUCUCUCUGACACAGGAAAACAAUCAAUCUGGAAACAGCCCAAGUGCUCUUGAGGGAAUGAGAAAAUGAAUGGUGCUGUAUUCGCAGAAUGGGAUACUAUACAGCAGUGAAAACUUAAUAAACUACAGCUAGAUGCAACAGUAAGUAUGAAUCUGGGUACACUAAGUUUGAGUGGAAAAAAAAGCAAUCACCAUAGAUUAAAAAUGGUAUACAUAAAAAUGCACAAUAUAUUCUUUAGGUAUAUAUACACAUGAAAUAUGGCUCACUUUUAUAAAGCAAGAAAGUAGAAAACACAAAACUCUUGAGAAAGUGGUUGGCUGACAGAAGGAUGAGUGGGUAAGUAUGGAUCUAGGUUAGAACAGGAAAACAAAGAUGAAUAUGUAAUAUUGUAGUUCCUGGGUUGAGUAUAAGUUUCAUUUUCCUAACUAUAUAUACAUACAGACAGACAUAAGCUGUCAAUGAACAAUUUACAUUAGUCCAUUUAUGAUUAAUUCAACUUUGUACACCUGAUUUCCAGAAGGAAAAUAAAAUAUAUAACCUUAUUUUUACAUUGUGAUGGCCCUAAUGUCUCCACAGAAGCCAUUAUUAGAGUGGAAAUUAGCUGGGACCCAGUGCUUAGAAAGACUUCAUGUUAUUCUUCUACCAGAAAACCAGGAGACCUUUGGGGACCUCCAAUGCAGUUCUGUCAUCACUAACCCUUUCUGAUCUGUAUGGAAAUAGAAAGAAUUCUUCUAAACAGCACAGCAACACCUUCUCAAGACUUUCUCCAGGUCCACCAACCUGGAAGCAUGAAUAGAAUCACAGAGUACCAGUGCCUUGUCUUGCUUAUGUUCCAUCUACUCAGCAUGUCUGAAAUCCUGCCCAGGUGAGUAUUUAUGUACGGCCAUGGGGAUAGGUUUCAUUUAGGCUCAUAAAUAUGCUUAUGCUUCCUUUUCCUCCUCUUCUAGAUUCUUUCUCAUGGCAUCCUGCUGGGAUUGCUGAACACAGAUCUUACUGACCACUUGGCUCCUGAUAGGUACUUCCACUUAGAGCUGGCAUCGAAAGUUCUAAUGGAAACCACCCUCAUUGCUGAUGGACGUUUUAUUAUUAUUCAAGUUUGAAAAUAGCCUGAUGUUCCAUGUUUACAUUGGGGAAAAUCUUUCUUCUGUUUUUAC
rnacentral:lncRNA from 1 species